rnacentral:rRNA from 1 species
GAUGAACGCUGGCGGCGUGCUUAACACAUGCAAGUCGAACGAUGAAGCCCAGCUUGCUGGGUGGAUUAGUGGCGAACGGGUGAGUAACACGUGAGUAACCUGCCCUUGACUCUGGGAUAAGCCCGGGAAACUGGGUCUAAUACCGGAUAGGAGCGCCUGUCGCAUGACGGGUGUUGGAAAGAUUUUUCGGUCAUGGAUGGACUCGCGGCCUAUCAGCUUGUUGGUGAGGUAAUGGCUCACCAAGGCGACGACGGGUAGCCGGCCUGAGAGGGUGACCGGCCACAACGGGACUGGGACACCGGCCCAGACCCCACGGGAGGGAAGCGUGGGGAAUAUUGCACAAUGGGCGGAAGCCUGAUGCAGCGACGCCGCGUGAGGGAUGACGGCCUUCGGGUUGUAAACCUCUUUCAGUAGGGAAGAAGCGAAAGUGACGGUACCUGCAGAAGAAGCACCGGCUAACUACGUG